rnacentral:rRNA from 1 species
GCCUUCCUCGAGGCCGAGGGCGACAUGGAUGUGCGGCGUCUAGCUGGCGACGAGGCGCACGACAUCCUCGCAUUCCUGAGCCUCGUGCCGGAGCUGGAUGCCCGGGUGCUCCCGGCGCCCGUGCUGUCAGUACAGGCUACUCGUCUAAGCGCCGGCCUGGCGGUCGGCCUGUGCGUGCACCACGCCGUCGCCGACGGACGCACCGUGUGGCGAUUCAUGGAGGCAUGGUCUUCCGCUUCCCGUGAGGGCUCCCCAGUCACCAAGGUCCUCGGCCCGCCACACUACAGCCGCGACGUCAUCCAUCACGCGAACGCCGACGAGCUCGCCCGCGAGAUGCUAAAGACCGUCGGGCCCAAUCUCCCAGAGGUGAGAGGACAGCACGACUUCAGCCAGCGGUUCCUGCUGGCGCGCCGGACGUUCUACCUCGGCACCGACGACAUCCAGUCGCUUAGGCGGCGGAUCGACGACCUCGCCUCCGCCGAGGCUGCCGCCGCCGGUGGCGACGCGCCCAAGCUGAAACCGGUGUCGACGUUCGUGGCGCUGGCGGCGCUGAGCUGGACGGCGUUCGUUCGUUCCAAGGGGCUCGGCGCCGGGGACGACACGUACCUGGUGUUCCUCGCCGACCUGCGCUCCCGCCUCGACCCGCAUGUGAGCGAGGCUUACCUCGGCAACUGCGUGCGCGCGUGCCUGGCGAGCUGCGCCGACGCGGCGGAUCUCCUCGGCCAGGCGGGCAUCCUCCGCGCGGCGCGGGCUGUGCAGGCCGCGGUGGCGGAGAUGGAGGCGGCGCCGCUGUCCGGGACGGACAAGGGGUGGAUGCAGAAGCUGAUGCGGCUGCCGUUUCAGCGGCUGACGAACGUGGCGGCGAGCCCUCGAUUCAGGGCCUACGAGGCGGCUGACUUCGGGUUCGGCAAGCCCGCGCGCGUGGAGCUGGUAUCCAUGAACCACGACGGCGAGAUGGUGCUCGUCGGCGGCCGGCGAGAUGGCGAGGUGCAAGCCUCCGUGUCGAUCGACCCGGCGCACAUGGACGCAUUCAAGGCCUGCAUCCACGGGUAG